AUUGAACGCUGGCGGCAUGCUUUACACAUGCAAGUCGAACGCGAAAGCGGGGGCAACUCCGCCGGUAGAGUGGCGAACGGGUGAGUAAUACAUCGGAACGUACCCAGUUGUGGGGGACAACCAGUCGAAAGACAGGCUAAUACCGCAUACGCUGGAGACAGGAAAGGGGCGCCCGCAAGGGGCUCUCGCAAUUGGCGCGGCCGAUGUCGGAUUAGCUAGUUGGUGAGGUAAAAGCNCACCAAGGCGACGAUCCGUAGCUGGUCUGAGAGGAUGAUCAGCCACACUGGGACUGAGACACGGCCCAGACUCCUACGGGAGGCAGCAGUGGGGAAUUUUGGACAAUGGGGGCAACCCUGAUCCAGCCAUGCCGCGUGAGGGAAGAAGGCCU
rnacentral:rRNA from 1 species